rnacentral:rRNA from 1 species
GGACUACGUGGGUAUCUAAUCCGGUUCGUGCCCCUAGCUUUCGUCCCUUGCCGUCAGGUCCGUUCUGGUGAGACGCCUUCGCCACUGGUGGUCCUUCAAGGAUUACAAGAUUUCACCCCUACCCCUGAAGUACCUCUCACCUCUCCCGGCCUCGAGCCAGACAGUAUCUCCUGAAAGCCCAACAGUUGAGCUGCUGGAUUUCUCAAGAGACUUAUCCGGCCGGCUACAGACCCUUUAGACCCAAUAAUAACGGUUACCACUCGAGCCGCCGGUGUUACCGCGGCGGCUGGCACCGGUCUUGCCCGGCCCUUGCUAUGCAAUGCUUUUUAGGCAUCACGACAGCCAGAUUUGUAACCUGGCACUCGAGGUCCCCUUAUCGCCGUUGCCGGCAUUGUAAAGUUUUCGCGCCUGCUGCACCCCGUAGG